rnacentral:misc_RNA from 1 species
GAUGAAGAACGUAGCGAAAUGCGAUAAGUAGUGUGAAUUGCAGAAUUCAGUGAAUCAUCGAAUCUUUGAACGCACAUUGCGCCUUCUGGUAUUCCGGGAGGCAUGCCUGUUCGAGCGUCAUCAAAAACCCUCAAUCUCUGAUUUUUACAGUCAAAGGUUGGUCUUGCCUUGGAGGCUUCAGCUUCCUUUGCGAAAUCCAAUGGCGAAAAGCCACGCAUCCAGAGCGUAGUAAAUUACACCUCGCGAUGGGAACGUGAGCGCUUCAGCCCCAAACCCCCAAUAUUCCAAGUUUUUGACCUCGGAUCAGGUAGGGAUACCCGCUGAACUUAAGCAUAUCAAUAAGCGGAGGA